GGAGAGGUGUCCGAGUGGUUUAAGGAGCACGCUUGGAAAGCGUGUAUACGUUAAUAGCGUAUCGAGGGUUCGAAUCCCUCUCUCUCCGCCA
rnacentral:tRNA from 2 species